UAAUACGGAAGGAGCAAGCGCUGUCCGGAAUCACUGGGUGUAAAGGGGGUGUAGGCGGGCCUUUAAGUCGAGGAUGAAAGAUGUGAGCUCAACUCGCAAAUGCUUCCGAUACUGAAGGCCUUGAGCAUGAGAGGGGAGAGUGGAACUCCCGGUGUAGCGGUGGAAUGCGUAGAGAUCGGGAAGAACACUCGUGGCGAAGGCGGCUCUCUGGCUCAUUGCUGACGCUGAGGCCCGAAAGCCAGGGGAGCAAACAGGAUUAGAUACCCUGGUAGUCCUGGCCGUAAACGAUGAUCACUAGGUGUUCGCCAUUUAUGGGGAGUGCCGUAGCUAACGCGUUAAGUGAUCCACCUGGGAACUACGACCGCAAGGUUG
rnacentral:rRNA from 1 species